UCCGUAGGGGGCAAGCGUUGUCCGGAAUCAUUGGGCGUAAAGCGCGUGUAGGCGGCCCGGUAAGUCCGCUGUGAAAGUCCAGGGCUCAACCCUGGGAUGCCGGUGGAUACUGUCGGGCUCGAGUCCGGAAGAGGCGAGUGGAAUUCCUGGUGUAGCGGUGAAAUGCGCAGAUAUCAGGAGGAACACCAAUGGCGAAGGCAGCUCGCUGGGACGUGACUGACGCUGAGACGCGAAAGCGUGGGGAGCAAACAGG
rnacentral:rRNA from 1 species